AUGAAGCCCAGCUUGCUGGGUGGAUUAGUGGCGAACGGGUGAGUAACACGUGAGCAACCUGCCCCUGACUCUGGGAUAAGCGCUGGAAACGGCGUCUAAUACUGGAUACGAACAAGAAUCGCAUGGUUACUUGUUGGAAAGAUUUUUCGGUUGGGGAUGGGCUCGCGGCCUAUCAGCUUGUUGGUGAGGUAAUGGCUCACCAAGGCGUCGACGGGUAGCCGGCCUGAGAGGGUGACCGGCCACACUGGGACUGAGACACGGCCCAGACUCCUACGGGAGGCAGCAGUGGGGAAUAUUGCACAAUGGGCGCAAGCCUGAUGCAGCAACGCCGCGUGAGGGAUGACGGCCUUCGGGUUGUAAACCUCUUUUAGCAGGGAAGAAGCGAGAGUGACGGUACCUGCAGAAAAAGCACCGGCUAACUACGUGCCAGCAGCCGCGGUAAUACGUAGGGUGCAAGCGUUAUCCGGAAUUAUUGGGCGUAAAGAGCUCGUAGGCGGUUUGUCGCGUCUGCUGUGAAAUCUGGGGGCUCAACCCCCAGCCUGCAGUGGGUACGGGCAGACUAGAGUGCGGUAGGGGAGAUUGGAAUUCCUGGUGUAGCGGUGGAAUGCGCAGAUAUCAGGAGGAACACCGAUGGCGAAGGCAGAUCUCUGGGCCGUAACUGACGCUGAGGAGCGAAAGGGUGGGGAGCAAACAGGCUUAGAUACCCUGGUAGUCCACCCCGUAAACGUUGGGAACUAGUUGUGGGGUCCAUUCCACGGAUUCCGUGACGCAGCUAACGCAUUAAGUUCCCCGCCUGGGGAGUACGGCCGCAAGGCUAAAACUCAAAGGAAUUGACGGGGACCCGCACAAGCGGCGGAGCAUGCGGAUUAAUUCGAUGCAACGCGAAGAACCUUACCAAGGCUUGACAUAUACGAGAACGGGCCAGAAAUGGUCAACUCUUUGGACACUCGUAAACAGGUGGUGCAUGGUUGUCGUCAGCUCGUGUCGUGAGAUGUUGGGUUAAGUCCCGCAACGAGCGCAACCCUCGUUCUAUGUUGCCAGCACGUAAUGGUGGGAACUCAUGGGAUACUGCCGGGGUCAACUCGGAGGAAGGUGGGGAUGACGUCAAAUCAUCAUGCCCCUUAUGUCUUGGGCUUCACGCAUGCUACAAUGGCCGGUACAAUGGGCUGCAAUACCGUGAGGUGGAGCGAAUCCCAAAAAGCCGGUCCCAGUUCGGAUUGAGGUCUGCAACUCGANCUCAUGAAGUCGGAGUCGCUAGUAAUCGCAGAUCAG
rnacentral:rRNA from 1 species